CUAUUAUAUUUAUGUGUUAUGGUAAAGAAAAUUAAUCACCGCAUUCAUUUAUUAGGUCUUUCCACUUUUCCGUGGAAAGACCUAUUGGUUUUCUUCUGAUUAUUAUUUUUUUUUUCUUCCGCCUAAUUUUUUUCCUUCGCUGUUUUUUUGUUUCACAAGAUGUCGAUUUGAUAUUUAGAAUAUGAUAUUGAACAGUUUAUACGCUUUUGAAACCAACUCUGCUUAACCGAAUACUUUCCCAUAUAAGAGUUAUCUCCCUGAACACUGUUUUUCUUGUUAUCGCUAAGGCUUCGCAACCGUAUAAGAAACCGACAAAUUUAUUUUUCCAAAUUGCUCGUUAUAUCCUAAGGAUGUUCUGUUUUAUUUUGACCGAAGCCGUAUCGAGAUUCCAUAUGAGAGUUAUUUCCCCUUUUGUAUUUGAAAUUUUGAAAUGUAUUUUAAACUGGAAAACCAUAAGUGAUAGAGACCUAGGGUCUUUUGAUUUGAGAUCCUUGGUCCAAAAAAAUGAAAAUUAGAUCAAGGUCAAAGGUCAAGGUCAUAUUCUAAAUUUUGAUUUUGGCUUAUUUUCACUCAUUUUCAUUAACCUUAUAAGAUAUCGACAAAUUAUUUUUACUAAAUUGUUAGUUGCGACAUGUCGUAACUUAAUAAUUUUGGUUGAAAGGGUGCGUAGUGAAUAAAUGGGAGUUUUAGCCCCUAUCAUAUCUAAAAUUAUGCGUAAAGUGAUAUAACUUAUUAACCAUACAUAUUAGAGACCUAGGGUCUUUUGAUUUGAGAUCCUUGGUCCAACAAAAUGAAAAUUAGGUCAAGGUCAAAGGUCAAGGUCAUAUUCUGAAUUUUGAUUUUGGCUUAUUUUCACUCAUUUUCAUUAACCUUAUAAGAUAUCAACAAAUUAUUUUUACUAAAUUGUUAGUUGCGACAUGUCGUAACUUAAUAAUUUUGGUUGAAAGGGUGCGUAGUUAAUAAACGGGAGUUUUAGCCCCUAUCAUAUCUAAAAUUAUGUGUAAAGUGAUAUAACUUAUUUACCAUACAUAUUAGAGACCUAGGGUCUUUUGAUUUGAGAUCCUCAGUUUUUGACCUUGAAAUUGAGGUCAAAGUCAUAGGUAAAUUUGACGUUCUAGAUUAUGACCUUUGCUUAAAAUUCAUAUCUAUACAUCACAAUGCGAUAGGAACUGACAUUUUAGACUGAUUUUUAAUAAUUUAAUAUCAAAAUAGAUACUUACAGG
rnacentral:lncRNA from 1 species